CAUGCCGGCUGAGAACGAAGACCACAAGGGGACGACAACUCAACAACAAGUCGAAGGCGAGACUUCGGGAUGCUGGAUCACUGACUAUUCCGGAUGAUGUCUGAUUUUGUUGGCGAUAUCCGGUCCACACCAUGAGACUGAUGUCUGAGGAGCACCAGGACGCCGUUGAUCAUCUCUCAGGAUUUCGAGGCCAGAAUUGCAGAAGAUGGACGUCUUACCCUUGAUGACUCUGGUCACCUUGGUUAAACCGGGCUCCCCAAUCACCCUGGUUACCUUGGUAACUGAGGGCUCCGUCUCGACGACGCCGGCUCCCUCGGUGAUCACGGGCUCGCCCUGCACCACCACCCGGGUGACCGUCGGUUCUGUUUCGAUCACCUGUAUUACCUUGGUGAAGGUUGGCUCGCCCUCAACCACCUUAGUGAUCGACGGUUGUUCUUCGAUGAUCCGGAUCAUUUGGGGUUGCUCGGGGACUGCGGGGGAGUAAGUGGUGGGAUCAAUACCAUCAAAGGAACAUUUACCUUCUUCAGAAGCCACUUUAUUAGUGUUGACUAACUCUACUGACCAUGUCCUUUUUUUUUUUUUUUUUUUUUUUUUUGUCCUUUUAGGGUCACUAUACCGCCCAAAACCAAUCUAAUCUUAGGGUGUUGAGACACUGUCUGAGUUUUAGUUCAGGCUUUUCAGCAGGUAGUGGUUUCAAAAUAGAGUUUCAAUCCUGGGUAAGUGUUUCAGACAAGGAUUAGUCUUUUAAAUUCGGGUUUCAAGACAGGGUUAGUGUUUCAAAUUAGGAUUUUUAAUCCAGGGUUAUCGUUUCAAACUAGGGCUUCGUUACAGAAUUUGUGUUUCAAAGUAGCGUUUCAAAUCAGGGUAAGGGUUUCACGUGGGAUUUCAAGAAAUUGUUCCAAAUUUGGGUUUCAAGCCAUGGUUCGUGUUCCAAACUUGAGUUUCGAUUCACAGAUAAGGUUUCAAUUUAGGGUUUCAAGCAGGAACAGAGUUCCAAGUCAGGGUUUGGAUGCCAAAUUGCGCUUUCAAACAAGGGUUCCCACACGACUAUCUUUUUACACACGAGGACAUUGAGACGAUUUUUACAUAAUGACCACGACAACUUGUUGCCUGAUAUCUCCUGUCUCCUAUCUCCUGUAACUAUCUCCUACUUUAUCUCUUCUACGUUACUCAAUACACAGAGGCAUGCAUUUAUCUGACAGGAAGUUCACUACAGGACUGACAGCCUAAUGAGCUCAUUACUAAAUGCCAGGAUUUGAUAUGCCGACAGCUCCCGAUGGAAUUUAAGAGCGGAUGAUAACAGGAAGCAUGAACGUAAUCAGGGUCUUGAAGCUCGGUAGAUAAGAGGAUUCCGUCAAUGAAUACUAACAAAAAUUCCACUUAGGAUCUUCCUAGAUCACAACACAAAUCCAAUAAGAGGCCGUUAAGGAAAAAUGCUAAGACCUGAAUGUCACUUUUGGGUGUACACAUAUUAACAACGAGAGACCCGACCAGGACUGGAAAAAUGUCAGUUCCGUCAAACACUGCCUUUUUCUCCCACAUCAAACUCAUCCAUUGAUCCCCUUAAAGACCUUCACCACAAACCGAUGGAUCCAAGGAUGCUUUCACCUUAAAUUGUUAAACACAAUCACUUAUUCACCUCAUACAGCUCCAUUUAAAUUCUUUCAUCCCAAAUCUAUGGAUCAGAGCACUCGCAAACUGGUCCAUCCAAGCACUUCUAUACACGAAACAGAGCCCUCCGAGCGCUUUCUCGGCACAAACAGAUCCAUCCAAGCUCUCAUUCGUCACAACCAGAUGGAUCCGAGCACUCCUUCACCCCAAAUAGCUCAAUCCAAGAACUCGGUUACCAUGCACACAGCCAUACAAGCACUCAUUUAUUACAAACAGAUACCUAAGCCCUUCACCUCAAACUGAUGCAUCCGUGCACUCCUUCACCCCAAAUAGAUCAACCCAAGAACUCAUUUACCACACUGAUCCAUACAAGCGCUCGGUUAUCACGAACAGAUCCAUCUCAGCCCACCCUUACCUCAAACCAAUCCAUCUCACCACUCAUUCACCACAAACAGAUGCAUCCAAGCACUCAAUCUGACCUUACCUUUCUCGGUGUACUCCGUCGUCGUGAUGGUCCUUCCUACGGACAAACAGUUAGCUUUAGCUUGAGCAUAUUUGAUACAUAAAGCUCAGGCUCAGGUAAGGAAAGAGACUUACUGACAAAAGUGAGCGGGAUCUCGGCGUAAGAGAAUCCUGACACGAACUGUAGAUCACAAAAACCAGUACAAGGGUCACAAAGAGUCCCUGAACCAAUGUCAAUAGACCAUUUCACCAUGUCACGCAUACUUCCAGGUGGUAAAAGACAGCUUUCUCUGAUGGCACCACUAGUAAACAACCCAACCAAACAAUGUCUACAAACCUUCGAGAAAAUAAUUUCCCCAAACCUAAUGAUGGAGGUUUGGUUCCCAGUGUGUCCCUUUAGAAGGAGCUACUACACCACCAGGCAGUCUUGCGAUCUUCUGUGUACAACUAUUUAUGAUAUCCACUCAAUUUGUCCCCUAUAAUUUAGAUUUUUUUUUUAAGAAACCUGAAAAAAACCUAAAGCAUUUGGGAUAUAUAAAGUAAGUUUUUGUCAUUGUUUCAGUUCAGUUCAGCAGAAGUCACUCAUUGUUCUGCCACCCGGAAGUAUCCUGGCGCUUCUUUUUUGCAAACAUUAUGAAAUGGUCUUACUCUGCACAUGUGUUUUCUCCUACCUGGAUCUUGAUGUACUUGAUGAUCUUCCUGAGAAGGAGCAGCAGGUCCUGGCGGCCCACAGGAAGAUCUGCAAGGGAACGUCAGAGAACGUCAGAUUGGCACACCAACAAAACACAAGGCCAUUAUUUUUGAGCAGAGUGCCAACCUGCUGGAUAGAGAAGGUUGUUCACUACAUGGAUUACGCCAUUGGUGGCCAUCAGGUCACUGUCAGGUACAUUGACGGAGUUGACGUGAACGGAGUUGUUGACCUGGAUAAAUACACAGGAAGACUCUCAGGUACCAUACAGUGGCUAUGACAAUGAUCGGGAUUACAUCAGAGCAACCGUAAACCCCCGAUUCUAUAUCCUAAACCCCUACACUAACCUCAAACCCUUCCCCUGAAACCUGACCGUAACCUCAAUCCUAAACCACAACCCCCUAAUUCCCUAACCCUAAAAACCUGAACCCCUAACAUGAACACUAACCUUCACCCAUAGCCACAACUGUCGUCUCUUCUCUCAACAAAGCAAAUCCCACAGCACGUUCUGGUUAAUUCUCCAGCCUGCACUGAAGUCGUUUGAAGUUUGGGUUUAAAAUAUAUCUUUUGUGACACCAGUCCUAAAACCUUUCUGACGCAGCUCGGAAGCCAACAAUUUGUGGAUAUGGUGGAUAUCAGUGAAAGGACAGUCCAUGAAUGACAAUGAUGUGUUUUAAAAGCACUGCCCACUAAGAAUGUCAUUCAAAUCUUCUCUUCCCUCACGGUGUCCGUUACCAUAUUUGGACAGCAUGAGAAGUUACUUCCUGGUAGUAACUUUGAACUUUGAGAGUUGAUAAGUGAAAGCGAGCCCAUCUGCCUGAUGACGGGACUUCCUGCAAUCAGGAGGCCCGGCUGAGUCACUCGGGGAUCCGUUUCCCCUCCUCCACGCCACUUUGUGUCUGACGCUUCCAGAGCCCACGUUAAAUGUCAUCAGAUGCUGUAGACCGGUGGGUUGAGAGGGAGCUCGGGUGUCGCAAGAGAGGCGCACUUGAUGGAAAUGACAGUGGCCAGCUCCUUAUUAUGUCUGGACCGCCUCCAGAGAUUAUAUCUGAGCUGGGCUGGUGCUCAAAACAAACAAAACCAAAAAAAAAAAACAGACCAGGCCAGGUCAUUCAUAGAUGAAAAAGAUUUCGUUUGGUUUUUCCUAAAUAAAAGUUUUUAUCAGGAAUGUAACUCGAA